rnacentral:rRNA from 1 species
CCUACGGGAGGCAGCAGUGGGGAAUAUUGCACAAUGGGGGAAACCCUGAUGCAGCGACGCAGCGUGAGUGAAGAAGUAAUUCGGGAUGUAAAGCUCUAUCAGCAGGGAAGAAAAUGACGGUAACUGAGUAAGAAGCCCCGGCUAACGACGUGCCAGAAGCCGCGGUAAUACGUAGGGGGCAAGCGUCAUCCGGAUUUACUGGGUGUAAAGGGAGCGUAGACGGCUGUGCAAGUCUGGCGUUACAGGCGGGGGCUCAACCCCCGGACUGCUCUGGAAACUGUACGGCUGGAGUGCAGGAGAGGUGAGUGGAAUUCCUAGUGUAGCGGUGAAAUGCGUAGAUAUUAGGAGGAACACCAGUUGCGAAGGCGGCUUACUGGACUGUAACUGACGUUGAGGCUCGAAAGCGUGGGUAGCAAACAGGAUUAGAUACCCUAGUAGUC